UGGAGCACCCACUGGGCUCCUGGCUUGGUUUUGAAGUCAAUGGCUCCAUUUAAACCUGGUUGAGAUUUUUUUUUUACAUUUUUUUAACAUUUGUAUACUUCCCCAAACCGCUAGUCCGCUUAAUCCCACAGACUGCCUUCUCAGAAGAAGAAACGAAAGCAUUGCUCUGAGCAUUAGCCCAAUGAUACAGAUGUCCAGGCACAUAAACACAUUUCUGACCCGGCUGCGGACGGCCACGUGAAGCAACUUGGACACGGCCACAAAACAAGGAAACUCGGAGCUGCCCUGUUAAUUCCAGUCACCGUCAUGGCUUUGAUGGCACGUCUCAGAGGAGGGACUUUUUUUGCCCCUCAGAGUGCAAAUCAACCCGUUAGUCCCACCAAGCUUCCUGAGACGAGGGAGCUUGUGCUUAAGGGAUUAAAUGGCCGCUACUGGAUGGCCCCCGGGGACAUCCCGGUGACUUAGAACGUGCAGGCUUGGAUGUCCAGGCAACGUCUGUGGUGCCAUCUUCCCAACAGGGCUGGCUUGUGUCUUGUCCUCAGCAAGGGGCCCGGCCGAUGGACCCCGUGUGCUCACCUUCCAGUGGUGUGGUCACAGCCCACAUCCAUCUCCCAGACCCCGGGGCCGAGGAGGACCAGCUCUGACACCGCACCCGCCCUCCCCUUCCACGGGGCCUGGCGUACCGCGGCUGCGCGACACCGGCUGUGGGGAGGCACAGUCCCCGGCUCGCUGCCACCCCACGCGCCAGCCUUGUGCUGGGGCUGCUUGGGGCCUCUUGUCUGUCGUGAAUGGGUUAACCUCAGUCCGUCCCCCUUCUGGACUGUGACACCUCGAGGGAGGUCCCCCUCCCAAUGUGUAACCCGGUCCAGGCACAAUUUGUAUUUGUCAAACCAAUGGUAACUACCUCCUUUAUAAACAGAUUCUUGCAGCUGGUUAA